rnacentral:rRNA from 1 species
AGUGAACGCUGGCGGUAGGCCUAUCACAUGCAAGUCGAACGGCAGCACAGUAAGAGCUUGCUCUUACGGGUGGCGAGUGGCGGACGGGUGAGGAAUACAUCGGAAUCUACUUUUUCGUGGGGGAUAACGUAGGGAAACUUACGCUGAUACCGCAUACGACCUACGGGUGAAAGCAGGGGAUCUUCGGACCUUGCGCGAUUGAAUGAGCCGAUGUCGGAUUAGCUAGUUGGCGGGGUAAAGGCCCACCAAGGCGACGAUCCGUAGCUGGUCUGAGAGGAUGAUCAGCCACACUGGAACUGAGACACGGUCCAGACUCCUACGGGAGGCAGCAGUGGGGAAUAUUGGACAAUGGGCGCAAGCCUGAUCCAGCCAUACCGCGUGGGUGAAGAAGGCCUUCGGGUUGUAAAGCCCUUUUGUUGGGAAAGAAAAGCAGCAGGUUAAUACCCCGCUGUUCUGACGGUACCCAAAGAAUAAGCACCGGCUAACUUCGUG